rnacentral:lncRNA from 1 species
UACCAUAACAAAUUACCACAAUCCUCAUGACUUAAAACAACAGAAAUGUAUUCUCUUACAAUUCUAGAGGCAAAAAGUAUGAAAGCAAUGUAUCAGCAAGGCCGUACUCCCUCUGGAUGCUCUAAGAAAAAACCCUUCCUUGCCCCUUUUUAAAG